AAUGAAUUUUUUGAAAAGGAAUAGCUCUCAAGCUGGGCCUCUAGUCUUGCAUUUGUUUAGUUAUUUAUUUUCCAUUUCUUUAAAGCUUAAAUAUAAGAAUCUUGUUUCAUACUUGUAUGUCUUCUGACUCAUUUCAGCCUAGCAUUGCUGCCUGCAGAGAUGGUUUUGAAACUUCAUUUUUUGGCCAUUGUACUGCUAUCUUUCCCAGAAUUGUUUUAGUCUAAAGAGUUUUUCUUUUACAGACAUAUAUUCUACAUUUUAAUCAGAUCUAUUGCUUAAAAUAUUCAGGAGAAUUGGACCCCAAACAGAGCUUUGUGGCACUAUUCUAGGGACUUCUAUCCAACUCAAUAUUGAUCUUUUAAGCAGCACUCACUGGGAAUGGUUCAAAUCAUUGCUAAUCCUUGUAGCAACAGGUGAUUAUGGAAAAUGUGAAGUGCUUUGCUAAAAUGGACAUGGACUGUUUCUAAAUCCUCACCCUGAUUCAGUAGCUUAGAGUUUCCCAUCAGGUUUAUCUGUGAGUAAAUUUAUCAUCCUAUAUAUUUGACUCUAAUUUUUUGGCAUCAAAUUUAUUGAUUAAAAAAAUUUGAAUCUCUUAUUUAUUUAAGUUGUUAAAUAUUACUGAUGGUCUUUUCACUUUCAGACUCCCAUUAUGUAAUUUGCUUAAAUACAUGGAUAUGAAUAUAUGGAAGCAGCCAGGCAUUUCUGCAUCGUCUCUCUUUUGCAAGGCUUCUCUUCAGCCUGAAAACCUUGAUUUGGGGUGAAGAGCUCAGGAUCAGGAAUGAAAAUAUCUAGAUGCCAGUAUUUAAUCUGCUCCUUAACUAGCUAUGUAACCUACGAUAUGCCCUCUAACCUCUCUUAGCAUUAGUUAAUUCUUCUGUAAAUAAUAAAUUCUACUAGAUGAUUUCUAGGAGUUCCUUCUUGUUGUAGAAACCAUAAUCAUAAUCAGUCUGUUGAGCACAAACAAGAAAUCCUCAGAGGAGUUUUUAUAGGGAGAGAAAAUGAGUGGUACCAUCCAGUACCUAUACAAUUUUAAAAAAUGACAGUGAAAGGAAGGGAGCUAUAAACUCUGCAGGAAUUUGGAGUGGGUGUCAGACUGUUGGGUGUAGAUUUCAUGGAUGGAGCCUAAACAAAAUGGAGAAGAGAAGUAAGAAAGGGUUGAUGUUGGAAAUAUUUUUAAUUCUUGUUUUAUUUUGUUGAUGUUUUAAUCCUCUCUGAGGUCAACGUCAGUGCAAGAUACCUUCCCACCAUUUUUUGGAAUACUGCCUUGACAUUUAAUCAGGAGUCUAAUUUAUACUUUGAUUUCAAAAAUGGAUAAGGCAGUACCAAUUAUUUCCAAGCACACCAUUUUGAAGUGAUACAUCAUUUUAUUUGGAGUGAAAUAACAUUCAACAUAUAGAAACUCGUAAAACCAGGCAGAACAAUAUAAAAAUUGUCUUCUGGCCUUAGUAGCAUUUGAAGGCAAACAACUCAGAUAAUUGCCACUAGUAUUUGCUUUUUAAUGUCAAAUAAAGGCUGAGAGAAAAAAACCAAGAGAAUAAUAGAUGGCAUCAAUUUAGCUUGUGCUUUGAGGGAUGAAGUAAAAUGUAGUGGUUAGGAAUAUAGGCUCUGGUAUUGGACUCUGGAUCCACCAUUUGUGGUUGGAUGAGGUUGUAGAUGUUACUUAAUCUUUCGUACUUCAACUUUUUCAUCAAAAGGGCAUAAUAAUAAAAUUUAUGGAGAUUUUGUUAGGGUGAAAUGUAUUAUCACACAAAGAAUUUAAACUAGUAGCUGUAAUGGAGGAAACACCCAAUAAAUAUUGAUUAUUAUUAUUGUCAUACUUAGUGCUUUCUCCCAUAAAAACAUACACAUUACUAAAAGGAAUACAGGCUAGAAAUGAUAUGAAAUGGAAAGGAGAAAUGAGAAGAAUUCUGAGUUAUAAAUUCUGAAGGCAUAAAUUAUUGUAAACGAAGCCUUGUCUACAAGUUCUCUUUAUGAAAUGGUCUCUCCAACAGUUGGUCUCUUCGUGCCUCUUUACUCUUGAACCCAAAAUUGUUGCAAAAUUAAAGUAAAAGAUCUUAGAAUUAUGAGAAAUCUCUCUGGACCUUAGAAAUCAUCAUGUCAUGUGAUUUUAAUCUGUGAUUUUAUUAUUUAAGAUUCAUUUAUUUAUUAUCAUACAGCUAUAACUAAUUAGACGUGGCAAGAAUGCAACAAUAAAAAAAAUAAUGCAACAAUAGCAAAAUGUAAGCAUUGUUUUGCCUAACCUGUGAAUUCAUGGCAAUGAUUAUGUGAGAAGUUAGUUAUACAAUAAAAUAAUUUAAAGAUCUAUUGAAAAUCAUUAAAAUGAAUAACCCAAGAUAAAUAAUCCUUUUAGGAAUUUUUGGCAGAAAACAAAAAACUAUUACUGUCAAAUGGGUAUAAUCAAUAUUCCUCUUUCAAAAUGAUCUGUAAUUCUUUUGUCUUGAGUUAACUCAGUUGUGGGAAUCAACACCUGGAGAAUGUAGUGGGGGUGAGACAUUACAUGUGGGAGUAAAGAAAGCAUUAAAAGGCUUUAAGAAUUGGGGGUACGAGGUAGGAAAUUCAUCUGCUCUAUAGAGGAUCAGCUAGCUUAUGAUUAUGAAGUAUUUCAUACAUUCUUAAUUCUGUAGCUGAGCUAAGACCUAUUUCUUCAACUCUGUAUGUCUUUUCCUUUCAAAGCUUUCUGACAAUUCUCCCUCCCUUUUUCUCCCUCUCUCCAUGCCUGCUUUUGUUGGGGACAAUAUGAGUGCUAAUGGGAAGCAGUGAAUAGAAACAAUAUGAUGAACUUAGUCCAAUCUACACUUAAAGAGGACAUGGCCCGAGCCAAACACAGGAUCCUAUUUCCAAGAACACCUGUCGCUUCAUGGAUCAAAUAUAUCACCAGUCUAGAGUCUGCAGUUUAGAACUGGAGAAACAUGGUCCUUGAGGUUCUUGAAAUAGGUCCCAUCUCUUUAUUGUGUCUGGUACUAUUAAAUUUCCCCUUUGACAAUGGAUUCUACAAGCGUGCAUGAUGUGAUGGUCUUUGUGCAGUUGGUUUCAAUGGAAAAAGGACACUUACAUGUACAUGAGGAAUCAGACAGGAUUACAAGGUGUUUGAUCGUUCCAAAAAAAAAUCCCCUGGAACCAAAACAACUCCAGUAUCUUCUCACAUCAUCUUAGUUCUAGGAUCUGGAUUAUCAACAAGCUAAUUUCUGACGUGUGAAUGGGACUGACUGCUUGUCCCAAAUUGAUUUGUACCAGAGCUACUGAUCAUUUGAUUUAGUUCCAAAGUUCCUUGCAACUACUUAGCUGACUUAUAAUUACUCCUCUACUUAGACAUCAGGUAC